UGAAAGAUGAAAUACAUUUUUACAAAACAUUCAACAAUACAUGAUGCCACGUACAUUGUUUUUUAUAUUUUGUAUGCUGUGCAUGAUAUCUAAAACGUGUUAUCUGGAAUCCUUGGGGCGUCCCUACCCUAAAACCCUAACCAAAAAUGUAUAACUAAACCCUAAGCAUUUUACAUUACAACUUCAACAGGGGAGGGGUUAGGGACGUCCCAUGGAUCACAGAGAGCAAUAGCCGUGUGGAAAAUUCCUUUCACAACUUUACUUGUCAUCUCCAUUUUUCAAGGAUACUCAAAGGCACAGUAAGGACACAACCAGUUUAUUUAUUUUUUACAUGUAACCUUUAUUUAACUAGGCAAGUGAGUUAAGAACAAAUUAUUAUUUAUAAUGGCGGCCUACCCCUGCCAAACCUGGACGAAGCUGGGCCAAUUGUGCGCCGCCCUAUAGGACUCCCAAUCAUUACCGGAUGUGAUACAGCCUGGAUUCAAACCUGGAACUGUAGUGACGCCUCUUUCACUGAGAUGUGUAAUACAUAAUAUCCUUAAUUAACAGCGUUGGACUGUUAGAACCUGUUAUAACUACUUAGAACCUGUUAUAACUACUGCUUGCAUAAGUGUACACUGUUCCUCAAUUACUCUUCGAGGUUACACACAAACACAUUCUGUGUGUGUGUGUUGGAAGUAACAGUUAGCUCAGAUAAGAAGCUGGGAAGCUGUGGUUAGCCUUGAGCGAACAGUGGCCAUUGUAUGCAGGUGCGAAUAGCUCAGACAAUAUUGCAGAAGCUGUCUGACCUCAGUCUUUGGGGUGAAGGAGCGUAAUCUACACAGCAACAGCGUCGGGACAUCACAUGCGCUAAGGGGCCAGGACUGGCUUAAGGCGCCAACAUCAACGAUAGGCUGGGACAAAGAACACUGCCAAGAACCAAUGGAGCAUCAACACCAGGCCCGGACGGGACCGCCCUCAACCCUCAUCGACCAGUCAGGAGAACAGAACCACAAGAAUCAACCUACGUCAUUUAAUGUAUAAAAUGUAAUGCACACUAUGUUUAGGGGCUCUCUUCUGCUGGUUCCCUCUGACCCAAAUGAACGAGCCCGUGCACGCUUUGCAAAGAUAUCUUUAACUCUGAAUAAACUGCCUUUACUAUAUCUAAGUCCACCCUGUCCAGCGUCUUGACUUGGUCUCAUUCUCAUGUAAAUGAAACAUCAACAGAUGCAGUGCUUUAGACUGCUGCGCCACUCGUCUGUGCUGUGCGGUAAGGUUGUAUGGUUUCCUUUGUUUUGUGCUGGUAGGUAAACAAUGCAAAAACAUAUACAUGCAAAAGGAUUGCUCUGUUUGACCAGCAGAAAAACUAUACUGGCCCAAUCUCCUUUAUGGGCAUUGGUGAAUGAGGGUAUAUUCUGAACAGAUCAACCAGGUGGAAAUUGUGUGGCUCCUGUGAGGCUGUCAACAUUAAUUUUGUGAACUUGAAUUUCAAAUUCACUAAAUACGUUAAUGUUUUAUUGUAUUUACCCUAUUUAUUGCAAGUAUUUUUUUCUCACAUCGAUUCCAAUUCUAAACAAUAGAGAACAGUAUCAUGAUGUUAAUGGUCAGCAUUUUACAUUACAUGAUGUAUGUGGACAGCAUUUUACAUUACAUUAUGUAUGUGGACAGCAUUUUACAUUACAUUAUGUAUGUGGACGCAUUUUACAUUACAUUAUGUAUUUGGACACAUUUAACAUGACAUUAUGUAUGUGGACAGCAUUUUACAUUAUGUAUGUGGACAGCAUUUUACAUUAUGUAUGUGGACAGCAUUUUACAUAACAUGAUGUAUGUGGACAGCAUUUUACAUUACAUUAUGUAUGUGGACAGCAUUUUACAUUACAUUAUGUAUGUGGCCGCAUUUUACAUUACAUUAUGUAUUUGGACACAUUUAACAUGACAUUAUGUAUGUGGACAGCAUUUUACAUUAUGUAUGUGGACAGCAUUUUACAUUAUGUAUGUGGACAGCAUUUUAUAUUAUGUAUGUGGACAGCAUUUUACAUUAUGUAUGUGGACAGCAUUUUAUAUUAUGUAUGUGGACAGCAUUUUACAUUACAUUAUGUAUGAGGAUGCAUUUUACAUUACAUUAUGUAUGUGGACAGCAUUUUACAUUAUGUAUGAGGACACAUUUAACAUGACAUUAUGUAUGUGGACAGCAUUUUACAUUAUGUAUGUGGACAGCAUUUUAUAUUAUGUAUGUGGACAGCAUUUUACAUUAUGUAUGAGGAUGCAUUUUACAUUACAUUAUGUAUGUGGACAGCAUUUUACAUUAUGUAUGAGGAUGCAUUUUACAUUACAUUAUGUAUGUGGACAGCAUUUUACAUUACAUGAUGUAUGUGGACUCAUUUUACAUUACAUGAUGUAUGUGGACUCAUUUUACAUUACAUGAUGUAUGUGGACCUCAUUUUACACUACAUGAUGUAUGUGGACAGCAUUUUACAUUACAUUAUGUAUGUGGGCAGCAUUUUACAUUACAUUAUGUAUGUGGACGCAUUUUACAUUACAUUAUGUAUUUGGACACAUUUAACAUGACAUUAUGUAUUUGGACACAUUUAACAUGACAUUAUGUAUGUGGACAGCAUUUUACAUUAUGUAUGUGGACAGCAUUUUACAUUAUGUAUGUGGACAGCAUUUUAUAUUAUGUAUGUGGACAGCAUUUUACAUUAUGUAUGUGGACAGCAUUUUAUAUUAUGUAUGUGGACAGCAUUUUACAUUAUGUAUGUGGACAGCAUUUUAUAUUAUGUAUGUGGACAGCAUUUUACAUUACAUUAUGUAUGAGGAUGCAUUUUACAUUACAUUAUGUAUGUGGACAGCAUUUUACAUUAUGUAUGAGGACACAUUUAACAUGACAUUAUGUAUGUGGACAGCAUUUUACAUUAUGUAUGUGGACAGCAUUUUACAUUAUGUAUGUGGACAGCAUUUUACAUUAUGUAUGAGGAUGCAUUUUACAUUACAUUAUGUAUGUGGACAGCAUUUUACAUUAUGUAUGAGGAUGCAUUUUACAUUACAUUAUGUAUGUGGACAGCAUUUUACAUUACAUGAUGUAUGUGGACUCAUUUUACAUUACAUGAUGUAUGUGGACUCAUUUUACAUUACAUGAUGUAUGUGGACCUCAUUUUACACUACAUGAUGUAUGUGGACAGCAUUUUACAUUACAUUAUGUAUGUGGACAGCAUUUUACAUUACAUUAUGUAUGUGGACAGCAUUUUACAUUAAAUGAUGUAUGUGGCUGCAUUUUGCAUUACAUAAUGUAUGUGGGUAGCAUUUACAUUACAUGAGCAGGUUGAGAGCUUGGUCUCCACAUUGGUGUCCACAUCACCAACAAACUAUCAUGGUCCAAACACACCAAGACAGACGUGAAGAGGGCACGACAAUGCCUAUUCUCAAGACACUGAAAAGAUUUGACAUGGUUCUUCAGAUCCUCAAAAAGUUAUUCAGCUGCACCAUCGAGAGCAUCCUGAACGGAUGCAUCACCGCCUGGUAAGGCAACUGAUCGGUCUCCAACCAUAAGACACUACAAGAGGGUAGUGCGUACGGCCCAGUACAUCACUGGGGCCAAGCUUCCUGCCAUCCAGGACCUCUAUACCAGGCGUGUCAGAGGAAGGCCCUAAAAAUUGCCAAAGACUCCAGCCACCCUAGUCACAGACUGUUCUCUCUGCUACUGCAUGGCAAGCAGUGCCGUAGUACCAAGUCUAGGUCCAAAAGUCUUCUUAACAGCUUCCACCCCCAAGUCAUAAGACUCCUGAACAGCUAAUCAAAUGGCUACCUGGACUAUUUGCAUUGCCCCCCCCCCCCCCCCCCCCCCCGCACCUCACCCCAUUUGUACGCUGCUGCUACUCUCUGUUUUAUUAUCUAUGCAUAGUCACUUUACCUCUACCUACAUGUACAUAUUACCUCAAUUACCUCGACUAACCUGUGCCCCCGCACAUUGACCCUGUACUGGGACCCCCUGUAUAUAGGCUCUUUUCUGUUAUUUUAUUGUUGCUCUUUAAUUAUUUGUUAUUUUUCUAUUUUCUUUUUUUAUUAGUAUUUUUAACAUGUUUACAUUUUUUACUUCAAUUUAUUUUAGUAAAUACUUUCUUAACACUUAUUUUUCUUAACUGCAUUGUUGGUUAAGGGCUUGUAAGUAAGCAUUUCACUGUUGUAUUUGGUGCAUGUGACAAAUGCAAUUUGAUUUGAUUUGACAUUACAUUAUUUUCUAACAAGUUAUAUUUUUCCAAACACUAUUUGCUCAGAAACACCUUCAGCAUUGUUUCAUGGUAAUACCACAUUCUUUGUGCAAGAGGGUUAACAAUACAAGAACACUAUGGUAACACAGUUCCUCUUUUCCAUCCAUCAUUCUCAAACCCUGUUUAUUGCAAUUUACCAUUGCUCUUGUAUUGUCAGUUUAUUACCCUGAAACAAUAACAUAAAUUAUUGUAAUCAGCAGAUAUCUGGGCAAAUAUUGAUUAGUAAUCAUAGUAUAUUCUGUCUAAACAAUGAAAUAACAGUGUGCAAAAACAGAACAUUCAACAGUCAGGUUUGGUUGCACCAGGGGUGUGAAGGUGAACAGCAAGGCACUGGAGUGACGAACCACCCUUGCUUGGCCGGCUCCCCUCUCUCCACUGGGAUUCUCUUCCUCUGACCCUAUUACUGCGGCUGAGUCUCUCUCCCAUCUUUCCUGUACUCAGGCUCCUGUGGUGGGAGAGAUCUUCGUGGGCUAUACACAGCCUUGUCUCAGGGUAGUAAGUUAGUGGUCUGUUGUUAUCCCUAUGUUGGUGUGGGGGUUGUGUUUUGGUAAAGUGGGUGGGGUUGGCCCUGUCCGGGAGUAACUUUGGAAAGGGCCCAGUGUCUUCAGAAAGUAUUCAUACCCCUUGACUUAUAAAUAUAUUUUUUUACAAAAAUAGUGUUACAGCCUAAAUUCAAAAUGUAUUAAAUAGAUUUUUUCCCUCAAUAAUCUAUGGAAAAUACCCUAUAAUGACAAAUAUAUAUUUUUUUUAUUGAAAAUUAAAUAUAGAAAUAUCUAAUAUACAUAAUGUUACAUUCCCCAGUUUCUGUGUUGUGGUUUUGUUUGUAUGUGUGUGUUUCAGGAUGGCUUCCUGAAAUUCCCCCAAGCAGCUGAUUGGUUGGCCCCAUUGCUAAUUGGGGCUGACCUCGCCCUCUCGUCAGAGUAUACAGCUGUAUCCCAUUACAGACUCCUUCUCCAGCUAUAUAAGCCAGUGUUCUGUUGCUCAGAGGAGAGAUUUGGGGGGAAGGGGAAGGCACCUAGUGUGAAGGAUAGUUUUAUCUUUUUAACCUUAUAGAACUAGGACAUGUUAAUCACAAAACAUAGCGUGACUGCAGAAAAGCCAGAUAUCUGGAUCCUGUGUGCUGUGAGGCUGGGACCAGCCUGGGCAAUUCCGAUAGGCUAGCAAGUUUAAACCACGCUAAGCCUCUACUGUGACAGGCCAACUCUAAAGUUGGAACUACAUCUGUCACAGUAUAAAAGAUGUCUGUACUAUUUCAGUCAGUUCUCUGCUUUACCCUGCGUGGUGAUACAGUGAACCCGUAUAUAUGAAAAUUGCAUUUACCAUUUAUCACUUGUGUUAAAUAAAUAUAAUUAAAGUAUAUUCGGUGACUCUGAAUCACAUUUUAUCCUGAUACCAGAUUCGAUUGACGCAACCUUUUACACUACGGAGUGCUUAGGCAAGAGCCCUGCGGGCAUAUUACAGCUGUGUGUCUUUCUGGGUAGGUCUCUAAGCCGUGUUCACAUUGGCAGUUUGAAGUGACCCAAAUCCUAUUUGAAUCUUUUUCCUGCAGUCUGAACAGCCUUCGUAGGUGGUUUGAAGUCCCACACAAAUUGGAUUCCUGGCCAUGUGACUUGUGAUUUAAAUGCCCUCAAAUGCUUUUAGACUGUUAUUCCACAUAUCUUGUUGCUUGUUAGCUACUCGUUUGACAAGUUGGAUCUUAUCCUUUGAGGCUUUAAAAGUGUCCUUCCACUAUGAUUUUAAACAUUCAAAUCAACUGGGAAAUGUCCGUGGCAGGCAUUGUCACUUUAGCUUGCUACCUGUUAUGGGAUUUUUAUGAAUAAAUGACUAAAAUAUGAAUACAUUUGACUUAGAAUUAUAACUAAACAGAAUACUACUAUGUUACUGUAUGGAUGAAUGAACCUAUGAAUCAUGCUGAAUAUAAUGUGUUCCUUGUUAGAAAGAAUGGAGUUAUCUUCAGACAGGCUGGAAUGAUGUUCUUUACAGGAAAUUCCGUCUCUACCCAGGGAGGUGAGAGACCUUGCGUUGGUUGCAGGUUUAACAGGUGGCAGACAGUAAUGUGAGAACGCUAACUGUACUGCCAUUGUAUCUGAGAGGAGGAAGGACAUUUUACAACCUAUGACAUUAUUAUUAUAUAACCGGAUGUAAAUUGUACUAUGAUCAGUACUCUCGAGAAUAAACGCUAUUGAUUGAUUUUGA